rnacentral:rRNA from 1 species
GGAGGAAAAGAAACUAACAAGGAUUCCCCUAGUAACGGCGAGUGAAGCGGGAUGAGCUCAAAUUUAAAAUCUGGCGGCCUCAGGUCGUCCGAGUUGUAGUCUAGAGAAUCGUUUUCCGCGUUGGCCUGUGUACAAGUCCCUUGGAACAGGGCGUCAUAGAGGGUGAGAAUCCCGUCCUUGACACAGACUACCAAUGCUUUGUGAUGCGAUCUCGAAGAGUCGAGUUGUUUGGGAAUGCAGCUCAAAAUGGGUGGUAAAUUCCAUCUAAAGCUAAAUAUUGGCGAGAGACCGAUAGCGAACAAGUACCGUGAGGGAAAGAUGAAAAGCACUUUGGAAAGAGAGUUAAACAGUACGUGAAAUUGUUAAAAGGGAAACGAUUGAAGUCAGUCAUGCUUUCCGAGACUCAGCCGAUUCUGUCGGUGUACUUCUCGGUUGGCAGGCCAGCAUCAGUUUCGAUCUGUGGAAAAGGUUGGAGGGAACGUGGCAUCCUCGGAUGUGUUAUAGCCCUUCUUCGAAUACAUAGAGCGGGACUGAGGAACGCAGCGCGCCUUUUAUUAGGUUGGCCCUCGGGUACAUACGCGCUUAGGAUGCUGGCAUAAUGGCUUUAAACGACCCGUCUUGA